rnacentral:rRNA from 1 species
UACGGAGGAUGCAAGCGUUAUCCGGAAUUAUUGGGCCUAAAGCAUCCGUAGCCGGUUCUACAAGUCUUCCGUUAAAUCCACCUGCUUAACAGAUGGGCUGCGGAAGAUACUAUAGAGCUAGGAGGCGGGAGAGGCAAGCGGUACUCGAUGGGUAGGGGUAAAAUCCGUUGAUCCAUUGAAGACCACCAGUGGCGAAGGCGGCGACCUGGGUAGAUACUGACGCUGAGGUGCGAAAGCGUGGGGAGCAAACAGG